AUUGAACGCUGGCGGCAGGCCUAACACAUGCAAGUCGAACGAGUGGCGGACGGGUGAGUAAUGUCUGGGAAACUGCCCGAUGGAGGGGGAUAACCACUGGAAACGGUAGCUAAUCCCGCAUACCAUCGGAUGUGCCCAGAUGGGAUUAGCUAGUAGGUGGGGUAACGGCUCACCUGGGCGACGAUCCCUAGCUGGUCUGAGAGGAUGACCAGCAAAACUGGAACGGAGACACGGUCCAGAUUCCUACGGGAGGCAGAAGUGGGGAAUAUUGCACAAUGGGCGCAAGCCGGAGGCAGCAAUGCCGCGGGUAUGAAGAAGGCCUUCGGGUGGUAAAGUACGUUCAGCGAGGAGGCGUUACUCGCAGAAGAAGCACCGGCUAACUCCGUGCCAGCAGCCGCGGUAAUUC
rnacentral:rRNA from 1 species